UACGUAGGGCGCGAGCGUUGUCCGGAAUCAUUGGGCGUAAAGAGCUCGUAGGCGGCCGGUUGCGUCUGCUGUGAAAUCCCGGGGCUUAACCCCAGGCGUGCAGUGGAUACGGGCUGGCUGGAGGCAGGCAGGGGAGAAUGGAAUUCCCGGUGUAGCGGUGAAAUGCGCAGAUAUCGGGAGGAACACCGACGGCGAAGGCAGCGCCCUGGCCGCCAUCUGACGCUCAGGCACGAAAGCUAGGGGAGCAAACAGG
rnacentral:rRNA from 1 species